GCUUUCAACAUCCCCGUUCCAGCGCGGUCGUAAACGCGGGCUGGAACUGAAGGC
rnacentral:sRNA from 12 species